rnacentral:rRNA from 1 species
GCUUGCACCUUUCAAGCGAGUGGCGAACGGGUGAGUAACACGUGGAUAACCUGCCUCAAGGCUGGGGAUAACAUUUGGAAACAGAUGCUAAUACCGAAUAAAACUUAGUAUCGCAUGAUAUCAAGUUAAAAGGCGCUACGGCGUCACCUAGAGAUGGAUCCGCGGUGCAUUAGUUAGUUGGUGGGGUAAAGGCUUACCAAGACAAUGAUGCAUAGCCGAGUUGAGAGACUGAUCGGCCACAUUGGGACUGAGACACGGCCCAAACUCCUACGGGAGGCUGCAGUAGGGAAUCUUCCACAAUGGGCGCAAGCCUGAUGGAGCAACGCCGCGUGUGUGAUGAAGGCUUUCGGGUCGUAAAGCACUGUUGUAUGGGAAGAAAUGCUAAAAUAGGGAAUGAUUUUAGUUUGACGGUACCAUACCAGAAAGGGACGGCUAAAUACGUGCCAGCAGCCGCGGUAAUACGUAUGUCCCGAGCGUUAUCCGGAUUUAUUGGGCGUAAAGCGAGCGCAGACGGUUGAUUAAGUCUGAUGUGAAAGCCCGGAGCUCAACUCCGGAAUGGCAUUGGAAACUGGUUAACUUGAGUGUUGUAGAGGUAAGUGGAACUCCAUGUGUAGCGGUGGAAUGCGUAGAUAUAUGGAAGAACACCAGUGGCGAAGGCGGCUUACUGGACAACAACUGACGUUGAGGCUCGAAAGUGUGGGUAGCAAACAGGAUUAGAUACCCUGGUAGUCCACACCGUAAACGAUGAAUACUAGGUGUUAGGAGGUUUCCGCCUCUUAGUGCCGAAGCUAACGCAUUAAGUAUUCCGCCUGGGGAGUACGACCGCAAGGUUGAAACUCAAAGGAAUUGACGGGGACCCGCACAAGCGGUGGAGCAUGUGGUUUAAUUCGAAGCAACGCGAAGAACCUUACCAGGUCUUGACAUCCUUUGAAGCUUUUAGAGAUAGAAGUGUUCUCUUCGGAGACAAAGUGACAGGUGGUGCAUGGUCGUCGUCAGCUCGUGUCGUGAGAUGUUGGGUUAAGUCCCGCAACGAGCGCAACCCUUAUUGUUAGUUGCCAGCAUUCAGUUGGGCACUCUAGCGAGACUGCCGGUGACAAACCGGAGGAAGGCGGGGACGACGUCAGAUCAUCAUGCCCCUUAUGACCUGGGCUACACACGUGCUACAAUGGCGUAUACAACGAGUUGCCAACCUGCGAAGGUGAGCUAAUCUCUUAAAGUACGUCUCAGUUCGGACUGCAGUCUGCAACUCGACUGCACGAAGUCGGAAUCGCUAGUAAUCGCGGAUCAGCACGCCGCGGUGAAUACGUUCCCGGGUCUUGUACACACCGCCCGUCACACCAUGGGAGUUUGUAAUGCCCAAA